rnacentral:rRNA from 1 species
CCUACGGGUGGCAGCAGUGGGGAAUAUUGGACAAUGGGCGAAAGCCUGAUCCAGCCAUGCCGCGUGUGUGAAGAAGGCCUUCGGGUUGUAAAGCACUUUCAGUGGGGAAGAAAGCCUUGGGGCUAAUACCCUCGAGGAAGGACAUCACCCACAGAAGAAGCACCGGCUAACUCCGUGCCAGCAGCCGCGGUAAUACGGAGGGUGCGAGCGUUAAUCGGAAUUACUGGGCGUAAAGCGCGCGUAGGCGGUCUGAUAAGCCGGUUGUGAAAGCCCCGGGCUCAACCUGGGAACGGCAUCCGGAACUGUCAGGCUAGAGUGCAGUAGAGGAAGGUAGAAUUCCCGGUGUAGCGGUGAAAUGCGUAGAGAUCGGGAGGAAUACCAGUGGCGAAGGCGGCCUUCUGGACUGACACUGACGCUGAGGUGCGAAAGCGUGGGUAGCAAACAGGAUUAGAUACCCCAGUAGUC